rnacentral:rRNA from 1 species
UGGCACGUUGUGAGAAGUUCAUUAAACCUUAUCAUUUAGAGGAAGGAGAAGUCGUAACAAGGUUUCCGUAGGUGAACCUGCGGAAGGAUCAUUGAACACACGAUCAAAACUAUUGACGAAUCUCUUACCCCCCUCCUCGGGCGCACGCCGUGAGGAGGGGGGCAAGGAACCACCUCAAAACUUUCAAAACUGUACCCACGAAAGGAACGGCAAGCUUCGAAAUCCCGAGGGGAUCGCACUGUAGAGGUGCGGUCGUCGACGAUGUGAUCCCGGGACUCGCAGGCUCCGACUCCGGAAAGGAGAGGCGCUUGGGAGUUCCACCGCGGGUGUGACGCGGGAGUGUUUCCAUCGUCGUCGGGGCGUCCCGCUCGCACGGCUCUCGGGCAACGUCCCCCCCGUCUCCUAGAGGCGGGGGGACCUGUCGGGAGUAGGACGUUUUCCCCCCCUCCUCCCGGGAGCAUCCUUCCCUCCUCCGGGUUUGCCUCUUCCUCCGUCCCGGAGGAGGCGGUCCCGGUCUGCGGGAGGAUCUCGGGAGCUUUCCCCGGCUUGUCUUUCCUGCGGGUACGGGAUCAGCCAAACGUCGAACGAAGAACGCAAGACAGACGAAAAUUUAUCAAACAAAUGGACUCUCAGCAACGGAUAUCUUGGCUCUUGCAACGAUGAAGAACGCAGCGAAAUGCGAUACCUAGUGUGAAUUGCAGAAUUCCGCGAAUCAUCGAGUUUUUGAACGCAAGUUGCGCCCGAGGCUCUUACCGAGGGCAUGUCUGUCUGAGCGUCCAUGGGGUCCCGCCCAUCCACCUCGUCGUGCUGGCGGGGGAUGCAUUAGGAUGGGCGCCGGGAUGGCCUAUGCGCGGACCAUCCAUUGGGCUCGCCCGGUGGAAAGUGUCCCGCUCGGCUGAAAUCUAUGUCCGUCCUGGAAACCGGAAGGGACGUUGCGAGAAGGUGCUCCGCUCCGCGGAAGUGGGCGGAUGAUAUCAUCGAUGUCAAUGGCACGCGGCGUUCCAUUCCCUCUUGACAGGACUUGGAAGAAACGGGACUCCCGUCAUUGCGCCGGGAGUUUUUCACGUCUUGGACCUCAGAUCAGGCAAGAUCACCCGCUGAGUUUAAGCAUAUCACUAAGCGGAGGAAAAGAAACUAACGAGAUUUCCUUAGUAACGCGAGCGAACCG